rnacentral:lncRNA from 1 species
GAGGAGAGGCAGUUAGGGAGAGGAGCUGGGAGAGCAAGGUGCACAGGAGGCGGCGGAAGAGGAGGCUGCUGCGGGACGGAGGCCUCCCAGGGUCACCCGUUGCUGCCGCGCCACCCGGGCAGACCGAGGUGGCCAGGCUGGCCCAAGGGCAAGGAGAGGCGCAGGGGGCACUGGGGUAAAUGGUUAGGGAUCGUAGCCCCUCCCAGCCGAAGGCAGCCCUUCCCACGUGGGCACCGGACUCCCGUGCGGCGGGAGGAAGGCUUCCUUCCUCGCGCUCGGCGCUGGCUUCGCCGCGGUCCUUGUCCCCAAGCGGUGGGACGCUCGGCAGGUCUUUACGGUGAUAAAAGAAGCUGGUUCUCAGUUACAAGGAUGACCUUUAUGAAAGCGUCCCGUCCCCGCCGGUCUGGCAGAUGUGGAAAACGGAGGUGGCUGGGACACCCUAACAAGCGCUCAGCUGCCGAGACUCUCUACCCCGAAACGUCUGGAGGGUGAUGUGUACUCUGCGCACAACUGUCCCUCGGCCGUCCRCCGCCCUGGUGGCCACAGCUCAGUGAGUCCGUCGCCUUCCGGGGACAGGAGGCCUUUUGGUCUGGAGCAGCGGAGAGUGGAACAGGCGUCGCUGAGAAACGUCRUCGAGUUCCUUACGGUUAAUCUGGAAGUGACAUCAGUCUGUGCAACCUUCCUUCCCCAGAGCCCUUGGUCUGAGCAAGUUCUGAAUCUCAGYGUACUUUUAACAUCAGAAUAGGAUUCCUUUCGGAUCAGUUCAGCUUGAGACUAUUCGCUGGUAACAGUGGAGAAGAAACAGUCUAAAAARAACCUUAAAAUCACUAAAAUACUUUGCAGUUAUUAUACAGUCUUUGCAUGGAGCCAUAGCUACACAGUGUUAGGACUUCUGCUGCGAGUAGUGAGAAGAAAAGUUGUUAGUCCACCCCCAGCCCAGCUAAAGCUCACGCUGCAGGUGUGUUUGAUCUCUUACUGUAGACUGCAGCGAGUUUUAGCUGCGUGUGCAGCUAGAGAAACCUGACAGGGCAAAGCACUCCGCUUAAUUUAAUCACUCUAAACUACAAAUUAAUCUUUUGAAUUUAGUUUGCYGUAGCUUGGCAGGCCCCAGGGUCGGUUUUACGGUGGAGAAGAUGCCCUUAAGUAGAAGACCUGAGUCCCAUCAGUGAAAUGGCAUUCUUGGCAACACGCUGUUCUUGAGAGCUUUUGUUGCAAGCUCACGCAAAACCGCUCCAGCGACGAGCCAGCAGGGACGAGCAAAGCAACGCAGAAAGACUGGCUGCUGCGUUACCUGCUCCGCUACGGAGGGGCCCGAAAGGAUGGAACAAAGCUGCGGCAGGUUUGCAGUGUCACAAGAGCUCGUUCUUCCAAAAAACGUCUUGCCGCGUUCCUGGUGUGGUGAACGUUCAUAGGUUCGCUCUGGCUUUGCACUUGUUUUGGAGCUAGGCCUACAUGCUGUUAGUCUUGCGUUUUCCUACUCCAUAUUUAUAGA